rnacentral:rRNA from 1 species
UACAGAGGUCUCAAGCGUUGUUCGGAUUCAUUGGGCGUAAAGGGUGCGUAGGUGGCGCCGUAAGUCAGGUGUAAAAUUUCGGAGCUUAACUCCGAAACUGCAUUUGAUACUGCGGUGCUUGAGGACUGGAGAGGAGACUGGAAUUCACGGUGUAGCAGUGAAAUGCGUAGAUAUCGUGAGGAAGACCAGUGGCGAAGGCGGGUCUCUGGACAGUUCCUGACACUGAGGCACGAAGGCCAGGGGAGCAAACGGG